UAGGAUGUAGCUUAAAAGUAUAGCAUCUCACUUACACCGAGAAGACACCCGUGCAAACCGGAUCAUCCUAA
rnacentral:tRNA from 1 species